rnacentral:lncRNA from 1 species
CCGUGGCAGCGCUGGGAUUCGAGCCCAGAUCUGUCUGCCCCGAGCCCGGGAGCUCUCCCUCGCCUCCCGCGUCUGGCUCCAGAUGCUACCCGAGGUCUCCGCCAGCCCGCCCUUCUCUCCCUGGGAGGGAGUCCGCCGGAGGACGGGCUGCCCGGGCCUUUCCGGCGAUCGCUGCGGGCAACAGCAGCGUCAAUUCCACCAACGCCACCGCCAAUUCCAGCAGCACCUCCGUUUGACAGAUGAGCAAACUGAGACCUGGCUCUCCAACCCCGAGAUGUCCUAAGGCCCAGCCUGACUCUCCUCCAAGACCUACUAACUCCUACUUGCUGUGUGCCCUUGGAUGAGUCCUGGUCCUCUCUGGGCCUCAGCUUCCUCAUCUGUAAAUGAGGCGGUAGAUGCACCUGCCAUCCGAGAUGCCUCCCGCUCUAGCUUCCAGGAGUGCAGUGAGUGGCGUGGCCAGGCCCGUGGGAGUGAUGGAGAGCACACCCACAUAAUUCAAGAUGUCUGCAUUUAUGAAGCACCUUCCCUGUGUCGGCUCCUACACCUGCAGAGCCUCAGACUAUCCUCAGUUCAACCCUAGGAAAGAGAAACAGGGUCGUCCCCUCUCGCAGAGGGAAGUUGAGGUUUCAAGGUGUGAAGUCACGUGCUUUUUGUCUCACAGCUGGGAUUCGAACCCAGGCCCCCGAUCUGAGCGCCUUCUGUUACACUCUGCCACCACCCC